UAUAAUAAUCUAUUAAUUCCAAAAGAUUUUUUGGCAGUUCUUUUAGAUUUUCUGCACAUAUAAUUAUGUAAUUUGCAAAACAAUUUCUUUCCUCUCAAUCUUUAUACCUUGUGUUUCUUUAUCUUAUUGCAUUAGCUAGGAAUUUCAGCAUAUUGAAAAACAGUAGUGAGAAGAGGCAUUCUUGUAUUUUUCCUAAUGUUAGUGGAAAAUCGUUGAGGAAGUUCUCCUGUAUUCCUACGUUACUGGGAGUUUUUAUUAGAAAUAAGUAUUGGAUUUUGUCAUAUGCUUUUCCUGCAUCUAUUAAUAUAUGGUUUUUUAUUUUUAGCUUGUUGAUGCAAUGGAUUGCAUUAAUUAAUUUAUGAACAUUGAACUAGCCUUGGAUAUCUGGAAUUCCACUCGUUUUUGCUGUAUAAUAUUUUUAUUCAUUAUUGGACUGAAUCUGCUAAGAUUAUAUUGGGAAUUUUGCAUCUCUGUUCAUGAGAGACAUAGGAGUGUAGUUUUCUUUAAUGUCUUUGUUUUGUUUUGGCAUUAGUGAAAUGCUGGCCUCCUACUAUGAAUUUGGAAGUAUUCUAUCUUUUGAAAGUGAUUAUAGAUAAUUGCUGUAUUUUAUUUCUUAAAUGUUUGAUAGAGUUCACCAGUGAACAUAUCUGGGUCUGGUGCUUUCUGUUUUAGAAAGUUAUUAAUUAUUGAUCCAAUUUUUAAAUAGAUAUAAACCACUCCAGAUUGUUUAUUUCUUCUUGGAUGAGUUUUGACAUAUUGUGUCUUUCAAGAAAUUGGUCAUUUUCAUCUAGGCUAUCAAAUUGAUGAGCAUAGUGUUGUUCAAUGUAUUUCUUUAUUAUCCUUUUAAUGUUCAUGAGGUCUGUAGUGAUAUACCUACCUUCAUAUCUGAUAUUAAUAAUUUAUGUCCUCUCUCUCUCUUUUUUAAAAUUAGCCUGGCUAGAGGCUUAUGUAUUUUAUUGCUGUUUUCAAAGAACCAGCUUUUGGGUUUUUUGAUUUUUUAAAAUUGAUUUUUAAAUUUUAUUGAUUUCUGCUCUAAUUUUUAUAAUUUCUUUUCUUUUUGCAUUUAACUUGGUCUUCUUUUUCUACUUUCCUAAGGUGGAAGCUUAGCUGAUUGAUUUUAGAUCUCUCUUCUUUUCUAAUAUAGGUACUCAAUGCUAUAAAUUUUCCUCUAUACACUGUAUUUGCUGCCUCCCACAAAUUUUGAUAAGUGUUUUGUUUUUGUUUUUAUUUGGUUUGAAGUAUUUUGAAAUUCAUUGGAGAUUUCUUCUUUGACUCAUGUGUUAUUUAGAAUUAUGUUUAUUCUCCAAGUUUUUCAAGAUUUUCCAGCUAUGUUUCUGUUGAUUGCCAGUUUAAUUCUUUUGUGUGAUCUGAGAGCAAACAUUAUAUCAUUUGUAUUCUUUUAAACUUGUUAGGAUGUUUUUUACAGCCCAGAGUAUGUUCUGUCUUUGUGACUGUUCCAUGUGAGCUUGAGAAGAAUGUGUAUUCUGCUGUUCUUGGGCAAAGUAGUCUCGACAUGUCCAUUUUAUCUAGUUGACUAAUGACGCUGUGGAUUUCAAUGGUGUCCUUACUGAUUCUCUGUCUUCUGGGUCUAUUUUUUAAUAGAAGGGUAUUGAAGUCUCUAAUAAUAAUAGUAGAUUAAUCCUCCUUGUAGUCCUAUCAGUUUUUGCCUCAUGUGCUCAAAACUCUGCCGUUAGGUGCAUACUCAUUAAGGAUUAUUAUAUCUUCCUGGAGAAUUGAUCCCUUUAUUACAUAAUUUGGCACCUUUUAAAAGCCAGUAUCUAAAUGAUUGUUUUUAAGCUGCAGACUUACAAGUUCAGAUAUAGCCAGCAUACAUAAAUAAUUGUGUAUAAUAUUGAAUUCAAAUACCAGAUUUAUAAUUCAGGAUGAGAAUUAGAUGACUUUAUUAUUUAUACAUUUAAUUAAUUUCUUGCAUUUAUGUUUGACUUACGUUGUUAAUGACAGAAGGAAAGAGAUGAUUCAUUUAUUCAUUAUCACCUGUGUGUCAGGUGGUAUUAUGAUGGAAAUACAAUCAUAAGCAAGAGAGGCAGGAUCCCUGCCAUCUGGAGCUAAUGGCCUAAUGUAGAAAACAAUUAAUAAAUAAUAUUUAUUCCUGGUGUUAGGGGAGCUCUGAGUACACAGGCUAUAGAUAUCUUUAUAUUUUCUUCAGAGUUGUGCAGUGAUAUGUACAUAGGACAGUUAUUUCUAUAAUAAAUGGAUUGAAUAAAUUGUAUGGAUUAGUGCAGUGAAAAUGGGAGCAGAUUUUGGGAGGUGCUUUUGUAUAAUGAUGGAGGUGCCAUCAUUGUCAGUAAUGUUGCUCAUGAAGCUGAUGGUCCUGAUGCAAGUGUGGAAAAUGGAGCAUCAUAUCAUCAAUGUGAAGGAAGUGCAUUCUUUGCCAUACCUGCUUUGGCUAUCUGCCCAGUUCCUGAGAUUGUGGCAUCAUUCAUCUUCCCUCAGGGCAGCUGAGACUCAGAGCUACUUUCCUUGUUGUUUUGCCCACCUAUGAGACUUUCUGUGAGACUGCAGUCAGUGUCCUGCUUUGGACUCCAGCAGCCCAGUCUUCCAUGUUGCACCUAGGUCCCUGUUCUAUUCCUCUCUUCUUGCUCAUAUGAGUGAACAUCAACUACAGCUCUAAUUAGUAAAUUUUUAGAAAACAGUUUUCCACCUCCAAAAGCAAAUGGCAUUUUUUGCAAACAAAUCAUUUGUCCUGAUUGGUGAACUAUGGGUUUCAGGCUUUGUGGUGAUUACUUUUUUUUUUUUUUUUUUUUUAACUCAGAGGAUUAAAGUCAUCCUAAAUUGACUUAGAUCUCCCUCAAGAAAGAGAGAAAUACCUGUGAGCUCAUUAUCUUUGAGGCUGAGAGGUAAGGUUAAAUGCUUGGGUAGGCACGGUAGAGAAGGCAAUCUUGUAUACUUGAUCCAUUUUGAGUUGAUUUUUACUGUAAUCCUCUAGAGGCAGAACAAAUUAUGCCUGCAUUUGGCCAUGCACUUAGAGAGGUAUAAUGGCAUUUAGUGACGCUAAGGGUGCUAUGGGUUUCCAUGAGAAAACUAGAUGUCCUUCACUGCUCCAUACAGAGCUGAGCACUUUGUGCUACUCAUUGCUUUACAGCUCCUUGAAAGAAUAGGGAUUGCACUGGUUUCCUCUUCAGCUUGUUUAUGUUAAAUGCUGUCCCAUUUUCAAUGCCUCUCAAGAGAAGCUCAUAAAAGCAAAGACCCCACAGAGAUAGGAGAACCUCAGGGGACCUCUGUAGAUGUGAGAAGAAGAGCAUUUAAAAGAUUUCAAUUUUACCCAUAGACCUAGUUAGCCCUGGCUGUAGUAUAAUUUCAGGGAAUAUGUCAUAACCUGCCCCAUUACGGCAGAGUGAAGAAUUGAAUCCUAGGGAAAUGGGAAGAAGAACUUUUCCUACUGUUAAACAGCCAGAUUCCCAGGAGUGGCUGUCAGCUGAAAUGGAGAAGGCAGAGAGACAAGUAGAUUUAGGAUGGGAGGAAAGAAGAUGAAGGAUUCAGGUUUGGAAUUAUAAAGUCUGAGAUGCCAAACAGAUGUUUCCAGGGUUCUUUAAUCUGAUCUACUAAUCUUUGUAUAUCACUGUAUCCACAUCUACUGCUUUAAUUAAUAUAGACAUUUACUAUAUUUUAACUGGUGGGUUAGUUCUCUUCUUUGUUAUUCUUUUAAAAGUUGUUUUAAUUGGCUAGGCAUGGUGGCUCACGCCUGUAAUCCCAGCACUUUGAUAGGCUGAGGCAGGCAGAUCAUGAGGUCAAGAAAUCAAGAUGAUCCUGGCCAACAUGGUGCAACCCCAUCUCUACUAAAAUACAAAAAUUAGCCAGGCAUGGUGGCGUGCGCCUCCAAUGCCAGCUACUCAGGAGGCUGAGGCAGGAGAAUUGCUUGAACCCAGGAGGCGGAAGUUGCAGUGAGCCCAGAUCGUGCCACUGUACUCCAGCCUGGUGCCUGGAGACAGAGCUAGACUGUGCCUCCAAAAUAAAUAAAUAAAUAGUCUUAAUUUUACUGAUUUGCUAAUCAUGAUGACUCUUUGUUCUUACUGUAUUUUUUGGACCUUUGGUGGAAUAUUGAACAGUAGCGGUCAUACAGGUUUUCUCGUUUGUUCCUGACUUUAAUGGGAAAGUUUUGAAAUUUUACCAUUGAGGGUAAUGUUGACUCUAGGUUUCUGAUAAGACAUACUCUCUGGAUUAAAGCAGUGCCUUUCUAAUCUUGAUUUCUUAAGAAUAAUUCAUGAAAGUUUCAUCAAAUGCUUCUUCUGUAUUUCUUGUGAAGAAUUAUAUGGUUCAUUUUAAUUCUUAAUACGGUGAAUUACAUUGAUGGCUGUCUAUUUCUCUUCUUUUCUUUCUCCGUCCUUUCUUCCAUUUCCUCCUCCCUUCCUUCCCUUCAAAUAUAGGGAAUUGAACUAAUCAUACUCCUGAGUGUAUGGAAUACUAUCAACCUUGGUGUUUUUCUUUGUUUGUUCUUACCUCCUUAAAUGACCAUUCUGCCUUCAAUUUGUAUAUUUAGAGAUAUAUGUAUCCCUGAGAAAUAUGCAGUGGGAUAUAGGUAUAUGUAGGGGUAUAUGAGCUUAAUUUACUUAAAAGGUAUUGUGCUAUGAAUGUAUAUAUUUUUUGUUCAACACUAUGAUCUUUGGUAUUAUAGCUAUGCAGAUAUAUAUAUGUAUGCUGCUGUAUGUAUAUGGAUAUGUGUAUACUGCUAAAAGAAUAUAAAAAUCUUUUGUAUUGUGUCUGACAUGGUUCUGCACAAUAUUCACGCUAUCCAAAAUGACUACAUUUUACUUAUCUAAUUCCCUAGUUGUGGACUUCGGUUUCCUCUGUUGCCUUGUACCAAGUGCUGCUCAUGUUUCCAUAGGACCUUUGAGAGAGUUAUUCUGGAUUAUAUACAGAAGAAAGUGUGGCAUGUUUGCCAGAUUUUCUAAUAUUGGCCACUUCUUAUAUUUCUAGGAUAAAUCCUGCUUAGUCAUAGUAUUAGGAUGCUUUCAGCUAUAAAUAAUAGAAAUAUCUAACUUCAAUAGUCUUAAACAGCAGGAAAAUUUAUUCUCUUAUAUUGUGAGAUGCCCUAAUGUACAGCUUCUUAACACUGUUUAAUUCAGUGACUCAAAGACAGCAUCAGGUUUCUUCUGUCUUUCCUGUCCUUCACCUCUACAUGAGCAUUGCCCUUUGCCAGACUUACAGCUACGUGCAGCUGCUCCAGUGCCCAGCAGAUGUAGAAGACUUUUUUUUCUUUGACUCCUUUUAGAAGUGAGAAGCUUUUCCAAGAAGCUUCUAUUCUCCAACCUCAGUAGACUUUCCUUUGUGCUUCAUUGACCACAAUUAUGUAACAUUCUCAGGACUAAACUAAUCCUUAGCCUGGUACUAAAACUAUCGAAACUGAGUUAGACCAGUGACUCAAACUGGGAUGCUUAUUGGAAUCACCUAGAAGCUUUAAGAAAUGAUUUAGAGCCUCUCAAUUCCAAUUAACUCGAUUAUAUUUACAACAUUUUAUCUAAAUUUUUUUUUACUAUCUCAUGGUCUAUUGUAAUUAUUGGUCUAUUUGACUUUUUGAAAUUCUUUGUCUUAUUUUUAUUAAUCUCCUUAUGUUUAUUUAUUACCAACUGUAUCUGGAGUAAUUUCUCUUGAUUCACAUAUUAUUUUUGUAUUUUUGUUUCUUUUUAUGUCUUUAAAUCAGAGGCAUAAGAGGGGAGCCCCAGGGGCGGGCCUGGUGGCUCAUGGCUGUAAUCCUAGCACUUUGGGAGGCUGAGUCAGGAGGAUGGCUGGGGUCAGGAGUUCGAGACCAGCCUGGCCAACAUAGUGAGACCCUCCCCAUCUCUAUAAAAAGUGAAAAAAUAAACUGGGCUCAGUGGCAUGCACCUGUAAUCCCAACUACAUGGUAGGCUGAGUAGGGAGAAUCACUUGAGCCCAGAAGUUGAAGCCUGCAGGGAGCUAUAAUUUUCCUAUUGAACACUAGUCUGGACAACAGAGUGAGAUGUUGUCUCUCCAAAAAAUAAAUAAAUAAAAAUUAUUUUUUUUAAAAGAGAGAAACUCCCAACUAUUUGAACACAUUUCAAAUCUUUGUUCAUGAUACAUCUUCUAAUAUCUCAUUCUUCAUAGUCAUAUGGUCAAGUUGAAAGUCAAGAAGCAGAGGAUUCUUUUACAUAUAAGUCCACUGCAAGGGAAUGGAUAAUAUUGUUUAGGGAAAGCAAGAAGUAACACCAGUAAUUUAAUCUACCACCAGUAGGAAAUGAAAAAUUACAGUUCAAUGGUCAUGGUAGCUAAAAAUAAGAAAAUGGGCAAUUCUGUCAAAAGCUACAGAAAGCCAAGUAGGACUUGAAAGGACUAGUAGGACUUUGAAAAUAAUAUUUAACAUGGCUUAGAGGUGAUUGGGAACUUUUACAGAAAAUUAAAGUGUUGAGAAUACAAGCUUGAUUAAAGGGAAUUAAGAAUAAAUUGGGUUGAAGUGUUAUAGAAAUGAAAAACCAUGUGAUAUGAUUUGGAUCUGUGUCACCACCCAAAUCCUAUGGGGCCUGGUGGGAGGACUGGAUCAUGGGGGCAGAGUUCUUAUGUAUGGUGUAGCAUCAUCUGCUCAGUGCUGUCCUCAUGAUAGUGAGGAAGUGGAUUUCCAUGAAAUCUGGUCAUUUAUAAGUAUGUAGCACCUCCUCACUCACGCUCUUGCUCCUACUCUGCCAUGUAAGAUACUUUGCUUCCCCUUCACCUUCUGUCAUGAUCGUAAGAUUCCUAAGGCCUCCCUAGAAGUUGAGCAGCUGUCGGCAUCAUGCUUCCUGUACAGUCUGCAGGACCAUGAGCUAAUUAAACCUCUUUUCUUAUAAAUUACCCCGUCUCAGGUAUUUCUUCAUAGCAAUUAAAGAAUGGACUAAUAUACUGUGUUUAUGACGAGCUGGAAAAGGGAAGAAAAGAACACACCCUUUUGUAAAAUAGGAAAAAACUCAGAAUGUUUAAAAGCAGAAGUGAAGGGAGAUUGAAGCUUCUUUGCUAGUAAUUAGGGAAUAAUUAUAACCUCAGGUCAGUCAGAGGGAUGGUAUGCGGAAUGUAUGGAAAGACUAGUUUUAAUCAUCAUCAUUGUCAUCAUAGCUAACAUUUAUUAAGCAUUUAUCAUGAUACAGGCACUAUAUAAAGUACUUAACAUGGAUUAUCUUGCUUAAUCUUUAAAAAUUACAUGAGAUAUGCAGAAUAUAUUUUCCCUAAUCUACAAGUAUGGAAACAAACUCAAAGAGAGUAAGUAAAUUGUCUGGAGCUGUCCAGUUAUUAAGUGUCAGAGUUCGUGUCAGACUCUAAUGGCAGCAUUGUUCAUCUUAAAGAAGGAUGGGUUGAAGUGAAGAUGAUAUACCCUUAAGCCGAAUGAUCUCCUUCCUAUGAAUUGUACUGGUGCUGAAUAGAGAGAGAAAAAGGCAACUACAGUGGGAAGAAUAUAUAAGUAUCAUUGAGAACUAAGGAGAUAUUAGAAAGAGUCACUCUGUAAUGAACCAGUUCUCAUCUCCCUCUGUCAGGAAUCUUCAACUUGACUACAGAUACCGAGAAACUAAGAGGAACUAAGGUUUCAGACUUAAUGUGUCUACUAAUGAAGCAUGACUAGUAAGAUGCUGGGACCAGGAUAAGAACAUUAAUGAAAAGCUACCUGAUUAACAGAGGCUAAAUCUGUUAGCAGAGAUGUGAGUAUAUUUAAAAUAGAUGAGUGAGGGCACCUGGGUGACACUGAUCGCAGAAGGGGAAAAAAGAGUCAGAGAAUCUCACCUAGGAGAGUACCCUGUGCUUUUUUCAUUUCAAUUCUUGAGCUGGAAAACCCAAAGUGUUCUUUGUUCAGAUAUAUUCAUUAGACCUAAAUCAAGCGUUGGAUACUGCACAACAAAGAGAGAGCAUUGGAGUGGAGGCAUAGGGGUGAGGAUGGAAAGAGGGACAUUAGAUUUUUUUUCACUGUAUUAACAUAGAUAAUAUCAAUGACUUCUACUUCCAGACAUGAGAGAGUGACUGGAGUUAGACUUACCCUCUUACUGUAAACAACUAGAAAACCAGUCAAAAAUCUAUGAAAAAACUCCUUUUGGUGAUUAGAAAGUACAGUUCUAUGACUCCUCAGAGAAGGGAAACAAAUGAAAUAAGCCCUAUGAUAAUACCAGCUUUCUGCCAGGAGAUACUUUCUGGACCAUAAUACAGACUCAAGAAGAGCAUGAUAUCACUGAGUUGAGAAGACAAAAGUUUGAAUUUGAAGCAGCUGAGUGGCUGGAAUGUGUUCAGUAGAGAAAAUGCUGAAGAUCUUUAUACAGUGCCUCUUGCAACUAUGGCUGACUGUGAUAUGUAGGCCGAAACUGCAUAAGCCAGGCAAAGAAUUACCAGGUAUCUGUAAGCUGAAUAUUUCUAGAGGCAAUACAGGGCUGGUAGAACUUUGAGUUAUUACCAGCCAGGGUUUAGGGUCCUUGAUUAAUAUUGAGGGCAUUCCAAAAUAAGUCACAGCUUAGUUAUAGGGCUAAAUAAGCCCUAAAGUCUAUUUAAAAGUUUUAAUAAAGCUUAAAAAAGGAUCACCCUAAUAUGUAAAUAAGUUUACUGCCAGUCAGAAUACAGUUCAACAUCCAUUAAAGAGGACAUUUAACAAUAUGAAGGCACAAUGUCUAACAUCCAAUCCAAAAUUACCAGGCAUACCUAAAAGCAAAAACAAACAAAAAACAAAAAAUCAUGACCUAUAACUAGGAGAAAAAUCAGUUAACAGAAGUAGACCUAAAAUGACAGAGAAAAUAGAAUUAACAAACAAGGUCUUUAAAACAGCUGUUGUAAAUAUGUAUGUAAUUGGAGUCCUAGAAAGGAAGAAGGGCAGAAAAAAUAUCAAAGAAAUGGCAGCUAAAAACUUUUCAUAUUUUAUGAAAAUUAUAAACUCACAGAUUCGAGCAGCUCAACAACCCCAAGAAGUAUAAACACAAAAUAAAAUCACACCAAAGGAGUUAAUGAUUAAAUUACUGAACAAAAUUGAUAGAGAAAAUUUUAAGAGCUGACAAAAAACAUACAGAGGAACAAAGAUAACACUACUCACAUAUGUUUUGUCAGAAAAUUUUAAACCAGAAAAAAAUGAAAUUACAUCUUUAAAGAUCUGUAACAAAACAGCAAACUGUCAACCUCAAAUUCUAUAUCAAAUAAAAAUACCAUUCAAAAAGUAAAUAUGAAAUAAAAACAAGUCAAACAAAAGCUGACAGAAUUAUUCACCAGCAGACCUAAAAUGCAAGUUCUUCAGAUGAAAGGCAAAUACUAUCAAUGAAACUUAGAUCUAUAUAAAUGAAGGAGGAGCAUCAUGCGUGGAUACAUGCAAAGAAUAAACAGCAAAUUCCAAAAGGUUAUAUACUUUAUGAUUCCAUUUAUUCAAGAUUCAUGAAAUGAUGAAAUUGUAGAAAUGGAAAACAGAUUAAUGAUUGGUAGGAGUUAAUAAGGAGAGGAUGAAAGGAAAGUUGGAAGGAAGUAGGUAUGACUAUAAAAGGGAAAUGAGGACUCUGGUAGUGAUGAAAUGUUGUUAAGAGGAUAUUUAGUGGGGAAAUAGUCUUUCAAUAAAUGGUUCUACAAAAUUAGAUACUCAUAUACAAAAAAUGAACUUCAACCUUUGCUUUAAACUAGACUCAAAAAUUAACUCAAAAUAGAUAGUAUACUUAAACAUAAAUAUUAAAACUAUAAAACUAGAAGUUUUUUUUUAACAUUGGAGUAGGCAAAGAUUUCUUAGGACAAAAUAUUUGAAACAUAAAAGAAAAAAUAAUACACUGGCUUUAUCAAAGGCAUUAUUAAGAAAGACACCAUUUAGAAAAUGAAAUUUGUAGCCAUAGACUAGUCUGAUAAGGGUUUGAAUCCAGAAUAUAUUAAAAAAGACUUAUGCCACUCAAUUAAAAGUAAAUUUUUUAAAUAGGCAAAAGAUUUGGACAGACACAUCACUACACACACACACACACGCACACACACACACACACACACGAUGGCCAAAGGCACAUGAAAAGAUGCCCCCUCAUCAAGGAAAGGCAGGAAAACUACAGUGAGAUACCAACUAUGAUGAAUAAAGUAAAGAGACUUAUAUAUUAUUGUUUGUAGGUAUGUAUAAUAGUAUUAACUUUUGGAAAUCUGUUUGGCAGUUUCUUAUAAAGUUAAGCAUAUGCUUAUCAUAAGACCUGGUGUUUCCACUUCUAUUCAUUUACCAAAGAGCAAUGAAAACAUAUGUCCAUGUAAAAGAAACUUGUAUAUCAGUGUUCAUAGUAACUAAAAUAAGGGAAAAAAUCAAAUGUCCUUAAGCAGAUGAAUGCAAAACAAAUUUUAGUCUAUUUAUAUAAGGGAAUACUCUCAGCAAUAAAAAAGCAGUGUAUUAGAGAUACCCAUGACACAUGGUUGAAUCUCAAAUAUAUUAUCCUCAGUUAAAAAAAUCCAGAUCCCAAAUAGUACAUGCUGUAGGAUUUAAUUCAUCUGAAUUACUGCUAUGGGAAUUCUGAAUACAAUUGACACACUUCUUAGUGUAGUUGAAGAUCAUAAAGACAUAACCCAACAGCUUGAGGGAAUCUGCUUACAGGUCAUUGGUACUGUUUUACAACAGCGUGUCUUAGAAUUCUAUGAGGAGAUCUUCUGUUUAGCACAUAGCUUGAUAUGUCAACAAGUGUCUCCACCGAUGUGGCAGCUACUACCCCUUGUAUUUGAAGUCUUUCUGCAGGAUGGCUUUGAUUACUUUACAAAUAUGAGUCCCCUCCUUCAUACUCUCUGAUACCAAGUAUCUUGAAAUGAUAUACAGUAUGUGCUAAAAAAGAUUCUUACAGGAGUUGCAGGAGAAGAGGCAGAGUGUCAUGCACUGAAAUUGUUGGAGGUCAUUCUGUGGUGCAAAGGCUGUGGCGCUGACCAGUGCAUUCCCUUGUUUGUGGAAGCAGCCUUAGAAAGACUGACAAGAGAGGUUAAGACAAGUGAACUUUGACUAUGUGUGUGCAAGUUGCAAUUGCAGCUUUGUAGUAUAAACCACACCUACUACUCAAUGCCUUAGAAAAUCUUCGCUUCCCUAAUAACGUUGAACCAGUUUUAAAUCAUUUUAUUACCCAGUGGCUUAAUGAUGUUGACUGUUUCUUGGGGCUUCAUGAUAGAAGAAAGAUGUGUGUUCUUGGAUUCUGUGCUCUUGUUGCGAUGGACCAGAUACCCCAAGGUUUAAAGCAGGUUCCUGGACAGAUUUUGCCAGCGUUUAUCCUUUUAUUUAAUGGAUUAAAAAGAGCAUAUGCCUGCCAUGCAGAACAUGAGAAUGACAGUGAUGAUGAUGAUGAAGCUGAAGAUGUUGAAACCAAGGAAGUGUGGGAGUGAUGAAGAUGAUAUUCAUGAAGAUGGGCAAGAAUAUUUGGAGAUUUUAGCUAAGCAGGCAGGCGAAGAUAGAGAUGAUGAAGAUUGGGAAGAAGAUGCUGAAGAGACUGCUAUGGAAGGCUAUUCCACAAUCAUUGAUGAUGAAGAUAACCCUGUUGAUGAGCAUCAGAUAUUUAAAGCUAUCUUUCAAACUAUUCAAAAUUGUAAUCCUAUGUGGUAUCAGCCUCUGACUCAUGGUCUUAAUGAAUUCAGAACAAAGAAAACAGUGACAGGACAAAGCAACUCUGGCUGAUCAAGGAGGAGCAGCCCAUGGAUCCAAAAUGAUUGAGAAGCAUGGGGGAUAUGAAUUCAGUGCUCCAGUUGUGCCAAGUUCUUUCAAUUUUGGAGUCCCAGCACCAGGGAUGAAUUGAGUUACCUCUUUCUUUCCUGCUGUGAGUGAUUGUAGUGAAGAGCUUGUGUUCCUUCUAGUAGCGGUUCCAGAACUACGUUAUCUAUUCUAAGCUAAUGAUCAAUAGAUGAACAAAAACCCCAGCAAUCCCAGGAGAUGGGACCUGAUCAUGCAACCUGGCAAUGGAAAAGGAACCAGCGGGAUUUUGGGGAUGGGGGUAUGGGGAUACCGUAGCGGGUGUAUUUUCUUUAUUUUUCAAAGAAAGUAAGAUCCUAACUCUGAAGCUUCAAAGUGACACUGUGGAAAUCUGAAACGAGGGAGUGACAUGAAGGCAGCUUUUCUUUUUCUGAGGAAAAAAAUAGGCAUGGGCUACAGGACUAUUUAAAAUGUCUCAUUUACAGUAUAAAGCUCAAAGGUAGAUGUAAGUUUUACACCUAUGAGUAUUUGUCCAAUUUCUGUCUCUUCCUUACCACUGGGUAUCUAUUCUUUAUAUGUACAUAAGAUAAUCUGAUAUCCUUAUUCAAUCUUCAUCAUUUUCAUUCAUCGUUGUUCCUAUGUAGACUAUUGGACAUUUAUUGUAGCACUGCAUAAUCAAUUAUAAAAAUCUGUAAAUGAAUUAGCACUUUCAUAUUGAAACAAGCCUACUAGCCUAUGCAUCAAAUAGCACAAUGUUUGCUGUUUAUAAAAAGAUGUAAUGGGAUUGGGGGCAAGGGUAAUUUCAAGUUAUUAGUUUUAAAAUGAACUAGAAAUUUUGUACCUGGAGACUUUUUGGUUCACUCACCUCUGAUAGGGACUUGAAUUAGGUUUGUAAGAUGGGGUUAGUGGUAUGUCAUUGCUGCUGAAAAUGACAACUCUUUUUGUGUCCUGUUUUUCUUAAAGCUGUCAGUGUAUAAGUGGGUUUCUGAAUACCAGAACGUACUGUAAAAAAUGAUAAAGGUGGUAUCUAGAGCAUGAAAAUCAGACAUAAAGUUCUACUCUUAAAGAGUUGAUCUAAGAGUAUGGCUAGACAUUUAGAUAUGCAGUCUAUUAAAAGAACCUAAUUUGGCUAUUAUGUCUUGAUUUGAUUGCAGUUUUUUCCUAAUUAUAACAAUUUUUUUUCUCAUUGGCCUGUUUUUAAUCCUGUACCUAGAAAUGCACCUAGAACAAAAAUCCGGUACCUAGAACAAAAUGCACACUUAAAAAACUGAUAUUUAACACUUACCCACUCCCCCUGCCCCAUCUCUUCUACCCCUCUUGUUGAUUGUGGUAUCUGAUCUUAAUUAGAUACGUCACAUAGUUCCCUCCAGAAAUCACUAUUGAAACCACUGCAAAAACAAGCCAGCAAAAAUACAGUGUAGAGGUUGGCUUGCUUCUCUCUCUUCCUAACUGCAUGUUGAAAAAUAAGCCUAUAUUGAUCUUAAACAUCUGUCAGAUGAGUCAUACAUUGUGUUAUUUUUUAUAUACAUGUAUACAGAAAAUAUUUCAAAUUGAAAGCAACAUCUUAUUGGAUUUAAAAGUAUUACAAGCUGUUGUCUAAAACAGAUGAGAAAAUUUAUAACUAAAAACCAAGGUACACAUUGAUUUUAAAAUGCAUAAUUAAGAAAAAAAUUUCGCACCACUGUACUUUGUCUCAGCCAUGUGGACAAGUCAUCCAUUUGGGUGCAUUUUCACCCUAGAAUUCUGACUUCUUUCUGUUCAAGCCUUUACAGUGACCACCAGACAGUCCCCCUCAUCCACACCCCCAUGCUAACACUUCUAUUGUUGCCUGGGAAACAGAAUGAGACCUGUUUCAAAAAGAAAAGAAAAUUCAAAGGUCUAGCCUUACACAUAAACAAAAUAGGCAUCUAUCCCCGUGAGUCAUGAUGUGGUUUUUAGAGUGCCUGUAAAGCCUCAGGCUCCCAUAUUUUUUCUCUGCUUUUGUAGGAUCAAGCUCCCAGAUAUUUGAAAUUUCUUUAGCAAGGGUAAAGUCUUCAUUAUAAAAGUACAAAAUGUGUAGUUGCUGGUGUGAACAGUAACCUAUUAACCUGUAUGUGCUCUAAGCCAGCGCUUCUCAGAUUUUAAUGUGCAUACAGAUCACCUGAGGGUCUUGUUAAGAUGCAGAUUCUAACACAGCAGGCUGGGGUAGGCUCAUGGCUUUGUAUUUCUCAUAAGCCUCCAGGAAGGUUCUAAGCUAGAACAUGUCAACAGAGAGUGCAUCCACCUUAUCCAUGAUGCUAUUAAAAAGUUAAGAUUCGGGACCUCCAUUAUAGGCUUGCUAAAUGAACACCUCCAGAAUAAACACCAGGCAUGAGUAUUUUUUGUACACACACACACACACACCCCCACCCCAUACCUCCUCUACCGGUGAUUCCAAUGUGCUUUUCUGGGUGAGAACCAUUACCAAGGUUAGUUUAUCUUGAUGGGAAUUUCUAAUGUGGGGGUAGGGAUGAGGGGGCACUGUCUGGUGGUCACUGUAAAGGCUUGAACAGAGAGGUUAGAAUUCUAGGGUAAACAAUGUGCCCAAAUGGGUUAUUUGUGCACAUGGCAGAGAUAGAGCUGGAGAAUGAGGAAGAAGAGGCUGGGCAAAUGUCCUUGCUCCGUUUGUGUUCUUGAGCUCAAAUGUUUCAUCUUGUUCAACUUUCUGAUCACCUUAUUCUUUGGGUAAGCUGCCCUAGCAGUCAGUGGGAGAAAUAGUUUUGGGGUGAGGGCUAGGGAGGAGCAGCAAAAAUCUACCCUUAAUGCUCAUUCGAAGAGCAAAGAGAACUGAUGUUUAAGGUUUUUCCAGGGGGUGUUUCUGGUUCUCUUAACAUUAUGUGAGUGGGGAUUAUUCCAGGCAGGCUCUGGUUUGGGAGUGCUAUGUGAAACAUCCUUCACAGCAAACUUCUCUAAAGGAAACAUCCUUCCCAGCAAACUCUUAUGUUAUUGAUACUUAUGUUAUGAAUGAGUUCAGUGAAAACUGUGGACUCUAGCUAAAUAUGGAAAACAGUUUUUAAAUGGCAGCUGCCCAAAGGGUUUGGGAGUCUUCUUCUAUAACAAGCUCAGUUGAGAACUUGAGAUUUUCUAGGGAGGAACAUUUGAAGGGGUCUUGGUGAUGGAGGCAAAGUAACAUGUACUGCAAGAGGCAUAGAUGACUCCAGAAUGCCUGCAUCACCGCCUGGUGCAGGAGAUCACCUGCCAGCCAGGUGGCAUAAUAAGAUUAAGAGUAAGCUAAUUGCCUACUUUUUUAAUGCUUGUGAAAUUAUUCUUUGCAAAUAAAUGAGCCACUCAGGCACAGCUCAAGUACUUGCAGUUGGGAUGAAAUCACUGCAGGGAGAAAGUACUAAGGGGAAAAGUGGGUUAUAUUAAUAGCAGUGUCUAGCCCUCUUGACCAUGUGUGACGCCAUCACCAGCACUCCCAGCUGAGUCGUGACACUGCUGUAGAAAGACAGCAAGUAAGUGGAAAGGGCAGCAGACCCCAAAUAGCAUGAGUCUACUGUGACUAGGCAUCGCUCUCCAUGGUGCUAGUGGAGCAGCUUUCUGCUCUCUGGCUCAGUCUAUAUUCUUGAUAUCUACCUGCCCUAUGUUUUAUGUUUAGUUCCCAGCCUAAAGAAGGAGAAUAUGGUCAAGGCCACAUCCUAAAAAUUGACAGACAUCUGCAGCCUGGACUUCACCUUCCUCCCCAGGUGGUUUUUGUAGCCAUGGCCACAAUGCCCACACCUUUGAUGGAGCUAUUAGCCACCGAAGCAGGUGGAAUAUUAUUUGGGAACAGGGGAAAUCAACUUUGCUUAGAAGCUUACAGUCAAUAGUGAGGGAUUUAAGAAAGGCUGGGUUCAUGUAUCUUGUCCUUUAAAUUCUUUGUUUAAAAAAUUGUGUGAGAGAGUGAGUGUCUUAAUCCCCCUUCUGCAGUAUUCCCUUCUCUGACUGUGGUUUCUUCUUCUGGCUGUCAGUGAGUGUUUUUGCCUGUAGCUGGCGAUGUCUCUGGCCUGGGAUGUGGACUUGUUCUGAAGUGGAGAAAACUUUAGCUGAUGGUCUUGGAAGGAGACUUCCAGAACUUUCUCACACUCAUACAUUACCGUCCUUCAUCACUAAACAUUUCUAUGUAGGUGAUAUCGUGUUAAAAUGAAUAAAAAGAAAUUGCAAAGCGUAGAGUAAGAAGUGAGCCCCAGAUAUUUAUCAUCAGCUAAACAUCUGUUGUCUGAAUUAUUGCUUCCCAGCCCAGGGUCUGUCAUGAUGCUCAAGCCAGGGCUAAGGUCAAUUGUCUGGUUUUCUCUCUCUACAUAUAUGAGCUCUCCAUGGUGCUAGCGGAGCAUUUGCAUUCUCUGGCUAAAUCUAUAUUUUUGAUACUCUUACCUGCUCUGUUUUAUGUUUAGUUCUUAGCCUGUAGAAGGAGAAUAUGGUCAAGGCCACAUCCCAAAAAUAGAUAGAUACCUAAAGUCAAGACUUCUCCCUGCUCUCCUGGUGGUCCCUGUAACAUGGCCACAAUGCCCACACCUUUCAUGGGCCAGCCCCAGGUGGAUGAUGCACCUGGUUAUCAUUGGUUGUAACUGGUGGAUAGCUACCACUUGCCAGCCUGGUGUCUAGACCUUCCAGACGUAAUACCUGCCACAUUUCUUAAUAUUCUGCUCUUCAAAAAUGCUCCCAAAGCUGCCAUGGGUAAAGAUUGGCUCUGUAGAUUCAGGUUUUGGGAGGCUGUGCCUCUGGUUAUAGAUUUUCCAGGUAUUUUUCCUUUUCUGUAUUGUUAUUUUUGGCCAUACUGGAAUUAGGCUUUGAUCAUUCAUCCUUUCUCUUGGACUAGCUGAAUUAAUCUGAAGCAAUUUGUUCUCUGGCUCCCAGUUUCCUCAUUUAUACAUUGAGUGGAUACCCUUCUAUUUUUGUUGCUCUGUGAAAUGAGAUAUAAACUUUCUCAUUAUGACUUGAUAAUAUAUUGAAAUGGGGAGGAGGAAUGCAUUAUUGUGUAAAACAAGGUUUGUGGAUUUUAAGUUAAUGAGUAGAUUCCAAAUACAAAGGCUCCUUUCCUCUGAAUUGAUCAUUUGCUGAAUUUUUUCUACAUAACAUAGCAUUAUAUUAGGGGAAGAAUGUUUCUGGAAUAACAUGAUUUUUGACCCUUUUUUUAUUUCAUCUGUGUGAUAAAACUCAUCAAGGUAAUCAAACACAUUAUACCAAGAGAUAAGACUUUGGUCUCAUUUUCUAGCUUAGAUAAAUGCUUUUACUGCUAGAGGUAUUAAAAUGUCACCUGAUUUGGAGUCAUCAGUCUCCUAGAAGAAGAAAUGAAAAAGCUCAACAAAGGAUUCACAAGAGGCAGAAAAGAACUGGGCUGACUUUAACCAGUAUGGUUUAGAUCUGUAGGCAGAAUUUAGACAAAGGUAUUGAUCAGAAAGACAGGACUAAUAAUGGAUCCAUUUGGCAAGAAAGAUCCAAACCAAGUCAUGGCAAGACCUGAUAAAUCUUCAAAGAUUGUGUUUCUGUGACCCUGAGCUAGGGGCAGUUGCGGCUUUCGAAGCUCUUCAAGGUAAAUGCUUCUCUAGUUAGUUGCACCCAGUCAGGCUGAGCCUGGGCUGUGUGGAGUGCCCUUGUCCCUGGGAGGAAUACAAUUGCUCACCAGGAGCCCUGGGGCCUCCUAUAGGACAGAGUUCCCUGGAGCAUUUGAGGUCCAUUGGAAAGUUUCUGGCAUUGUUGAGUCUCAGCAGGGUUGGCCUCUCAUGACAAGCCCCAGCUCUCUCUGUUUAUCAUCUGCCUCAGUGGCCAAGCCUCUGGGGAGCAGUCUUGGCUGCAAGGACUUUGCUGCAUCUCAAACUUGGGCCACCUUCCAAAUCUGGCUUUCUAUUAUUUUAUGCCUACUGUGCUCCAUACCCUGGGAUGGGGUGGCUUUAGCUAUAAUCUCUCUCUCUUUUUUUUUUUUUUUUUUUGUUUUAGACAGAGUCUCGCCCUGUCACCCAGGCAGGGUGCAGUGGUGCAAUCUCAGCUCCCUGCAACCUCCACCUCCUGGGUUCAAACAAUUCUCCUGCCUCAGCCCGCCCACCACCAAGCCUGGCUAAUUUUUUUAUCUUUAGUAGAGACACGGUUUUACCAUGUUGACCAGGCUGGUCUCAAACUCCUGAACCUCGUAAUCCACCCGUCCCAGUCUCCCAAAGUGCUGGGAUUACAGGCGUGAGCCACUGUGCCUGGCCUAGAUGUGAUAUCUUUUAAGCUACAGAGGCCCUGCCAGGUAGGUGUUAUCUCUGUUUGACAGAAAAGGAAACUGAGACUCAUAAAGGAACAAAAGUUUACAUGGCUAGUAAGUGGCAGAGCUGGGGUUGAAUCCAUCUCUGUCUCAUUCCAAAUCCCUUGCACUUUUUUACUAUAGCUGUGAAACAUUAUCUUGGAAAAGUGAACAUUUUAGUUUUCAGUAUGGCUAUUCAGUGGCCUUACAUUCAUGCUUGAUUUCCCCUGGAAAAGCUAGCACAUGAUGGGAAUGUUGGAACUAGGGAAAGAAUACAAGACAGGAGCCCCAAAAGAGGGAAUCAGAUUAGAUGUGAUAUGAAACCUGUCUUCUGAGUAUAAACAGAUGGCAGAGUUCUGCCUAGAAUUUCUACAUUGCCUUUGGCUGUGUGGGUCUUUUUAAUGGGAUAUCUAAGAAAUUCUAACAUCUUUUCUUAAUGAGUAAAGCUAGUGUUUGUUCAUGAAAGAAAGGGAGCCACGAAAUGAUUUUAACCUGUAACCUACAGAAUGUUUGUACUUUAGAAGCAUGUAUUGUUUCCCUUGAGCCAAGCAUGUUUGCCCAAAUACCACUUAAAUAGUGCAUCUUUGUCUUUGGUUAUGCCAAAGACAAAGGGGAUACCCCUAUGGAUACCCAAAGGGUUAUGCCACCGUAUGGUGAGGUAGGCACUCUAAGGGUGAAAUUCUCCUUCCACAGCAUUUUAUUUUGUGGUUCACAAAGGACAAGGGGCUCUUUAAAAUUUAUUUCCUCAGCAAUUUGUGGUCUAGAAUCAUUAAAAUAGAAGAGUUCCUAGAAGUCAUUUAGGUUAUAAAUUAAAAUUUACUCUCCUGGUCAAAGGAAACCUUCAUGUGCAGCCCAUGUUGAUUGAGGGCCUACUGUGUGCUAGGCACAGUGCUGCGGCUUUGCAGGAGUUAGUUACUUGGCUUGGCUGCUCCCUCUCCAGCCUUCUCUCACACCACCUCCCCUUGCUUCCCAAGCUCCCAACUCCAAACACUUGAGCUUUGCUGAGCUAUUGAACAUGCCAAGCCCUUCCUUCCCUCUGGGCCUUUGCCUAUGCUGUUCCUUCAGCCUGGAAUCCCCUUCUCCACUGUUUUCUCUGAUGGCUUUUCCUCCUGUCUCACACAUACUCCCCUUACAGUCUACCCCCAGAGCGGGGAAAAGCCUCCUUCUCCAUCUUGCUUUCUUUCUAAGCAGUUUUUAAUCCUUACAAACACUUCUAAUUUUUAAAUAUAUAUUUGUUUCCUGAUUUACUCUCUUGCUUUUCCACUAGUCUUUAUACUGUGUGGAGGCAAAGGCCAAGUCUGAUUUGUUCACCAGAAUGUCCUUCGCAUUUAGCAUGAUUCCUGGCAUGUAGUAGGCAUGGACUCAGGAAAUACAGUCAUGUGCCACGUAACAUUUCACUCAGCAACAAACCAUGUAAAGGAUGGUGGUCCCCAAAUGUUAGAAUACCAUAUUUUUACUGUACCUUUUCUAUGUUUAGGUGUUUGUAGAUACCCAAAUACUUUUCUUUUUUAUUGUACUUUAAGCUCUGGGGUACAUGUGCUCAUCCUGCAGGACUGCUGCAUGGGUACACAUAUGCCAUGGUGGUUUGCUGGCUCCAUCACCCCUGUCGCCUGCAUCAGGCAUUUCUCCCAGUGUUAUU